AACAGAGGAAGUCUUUCAAGGCUGUUCUGGGAGCGAGCUGGGGAGCCUCUGGAAGCUUUUGAGCUGAGAAGGGAUAUGCCCUGGUAGUCGCUAACUGCACUGGUUAUUUUUGCAGAAGGGACCUCCGACUGACCUGCCUACACAAUGAGGCGCAAAGGACGAUGGAUGCGAGAUAUGGCGGUUCCUUCCCCUCCAAGGCAAGAUUCCUUAUCAUGAAGAAGGAGGAGGAAGAGGAGGAAGAGGAAGAGGAGGAGGAGGAAGAGACAAUGACUGAGAAGAUAAAGGCACUCAGGCUGGCAAGUUUGAUGGGAGGAGCCAAGGACUAGCAACUCUCCUUGGAAAUGUCAUUUGCUUGCAUUGGGGAAUUGAAUCUCGACCAAUGGGGAGAGCAGAACCGUCCAAAUAGCAGAGUGUGUGAUCUCUGCCCAAGCCUUUUAUUGACUUUCAGCUUUCACAGUGAGGGAAGUGAAGGCCAAACUUCAGAGCUGCUUCUGCGAGAGAGGCUGCCAGUCCCUGGGUCAAGCGGAGCUGCUUUGGGGCUUUACUGACAAAGUGUGGCACGGAACUUGAGAGGGAGGCAUUUCCCACCCUCAGAAGCAAAGCCAGUGAUAGUUUUGGCUUUCCAAAAAUUGGAAGUGAAUCACCGGUGUAGGUGAGGGAGUUUUGACCGCAGGCAGUUGUGAGUUUGGCAUUUCAGUUACAGGAUGUGAAGAAGUGGACCAUGGCGAGAAGAACCAAGAUGUUGAGAUUGGACCACUGCAGGACUAUCAAAGACACCUCUUGGAAACUUCCUAAAUGGCAGCUGCUGGGAGAGAUAGGGUCAGUUCUGUUAAAGGGAAGCCCCUGGCAACUGGACCAAACUGCAGCAGAAGGCUGCACAUCUACCUCAUGGUCCCAGAGAUUUUGUUGUUGUUUUUAGCAUCCUUGAAAGCUGAUACACUUGUACUCAGGAACUCCUUCCUCAGUUGUCGCUGCCUUGGUUAUCAGGGUAACCCCUCUGUGCGGUGGGCAGCACUAUGGCUCCCUGAUGCCCUACCCCCACUGCUCCUGCCCAGUUUCCCAUUGUCUGUGGCUGACUAGGCUCCACAUGGACCAGAGCUACUAAGUAUAAUGAAAAAAAUAAAAAUAGCCCUUUCCUCCAUGUGACUUGCCUUCUCGACAAGGGUUCCUUGGGGCCCAGACUAUGGUAGAGUUCCUGAGAUAAAUCUAUUAGUUUCCCUGCCCAUCUCUUGUUCCUUAUGCAUGGCUCUACGGUUGAGGUUGCGACCAGUCCCAGAUAAUCACCUUUGUUCUGCCUUAGCAUCCUUCUGCCCACCCAAGGCUAACCUUGACAUGCUUGACUUCUGCUCUAUCUGAGAAUAAGAUGCCUGCUGGGACGCUGUUGGGCUUCUCUAACACCCAUGACACAGACAAGGCCACCUCCACCACCUUAUCAGUUCUGCACACACCUUGCUCAUUUCAAACCUUCGUGUUGAGCACAGCGUAAGUUUUCUUGCAGCUGCUGCUGCUGCUGAAACAUCCCAGCAAUUCCUGAGUCCUCUGCAGUCAAUGUCACAUGCCAGCAUGAUGGCCUGGCUAUGGCGAACUGUCUAAUAUUUCAUUUAUAUUAUAUAUGUAUGUAUACACACACACACAGGCUAUUCUUUUGAGGUAUAAGAUAAGUGUCUAUGUCUAAAGGACAUGCACAUUCUCGAGGGUUUUGAUACACAUGGACACACUGGAAUAAUACACAGAAGUAAACUGGGCUGCUGUUAACACAGCACAUAGACUUGAGGUCCUCUUUGUUUCUGAGCUGAAGUGUUCUAGUACACGGGAGUCACCAUGGGCUUGGAAACUAGGAGUUCCUCUUUUCCUCUUCUUAGGAGUUAUGUACUCUUUGGGAAGUUAACACUCCUGCUUCAUCUUGCUGAAACCCGAAACCAUCGUUUGUGAAACUUGAGUGCAGACUUUCCCCGCCCACUUCGCAGGGAUCAACUGUGAUAAGAGAUGCUUUGAAUGCGCCAACAGCCUGGUCAGCAUCAUGACCUUUUAUCAUCCUAGGGUAGUUGUGCUUUAGUGGCUCAUGCUCCCUUAUGAGGUCUUCAUUCUCCAUCAACACAUUGAACCAGGGAGACGCCCAGAUGCACAAUGCUUCCCAUUGUGUCUCAGGCAGACUCUGAGAUGGGCGAGGGCAAGGCUUGUGGGGAACAGAACUGGAGCAGGGCCAGGGGCUGCUAGCAUGCCGUUCUGGUAGGGUAAUUAAAUACUAAUACAUUUCUGCCACUGGCAAGCACCCCUACCAUUUGUGGGUCUUCUCCUUGCUGCCUCAUGAAAGAAGGUGCAUUUGGGUAAGGACUGACUGAAGGCUAUUACCAUUCUGUCGGUCAGGGAGCAAGCUUUCUCAAAGCAGUCAGGAGGUGGGCCAAGGGAAGCUAAGAAGAUGGGUUGCUCUUUACCUACCUUCCUUCCUCCCUCCCUCCCUCCUUCCCUCCCUCUCUUCCUUUCUUCCGUCUCCAUUUUGCAAGAGCCCAGCUUAAUGAAAUAGUUUAGUGGCAUGCAUUUUAAGUGAGACAUUCUAUGAAACAUUAAACAUGAUGGACAACGUGGAUUGCUUUUGGUG